GCGCGGUUGGUGGAACUGGUAGACACGUACGCUUGAGGUGCGUAAGCCGAGAGGUGUAGGGGUUCAAGUCCCCUAUCGCGCACCA
rnacentral:tRNA from 2 species